AGAUUGAACGCUGGCGGCAUGCCUUACACAUGCAAGUCGAACGGCAGCACGGGGGCAACCCUGGUGGCGAGUGGCGAACGGGUGAGUAAUGCAUCGGAACGUGCCCAGUAGUGGGGGAUAACUAGUCGAAAGAUUAGCUAAUACCGCAUACGACCUAUGGGUGAAAGCGGGGGAUUCGCAAGAACCUCGCGCUAUCGGAGCGGCCGAUGUCUGAUUAGCUAGUUGGCGGGUAAAAGCCCACAAGGCUUCGAUCAGUAGCUGGUCUGAGAGGACGGCCAGACCACACGUAGGGACUGAGACACGGCCAGACCUCCGACGGGAGCAGC
rnacentral:rRNA from 1 species